rnacentral:rRNA from 1 species
CGGCAACAGCCUAAAACUCAAAGGACUUGGCGGUGCUUUAUACCCCUCUAGAGGAGCCUGUUCUAUAAUGGGUAAACCCCAAUAAACCUCACCAAUCCUUGCUAAUACAGUCUAUAUACCGCCAUCUUCAGCAAACCCUAAAAAGGAAUAAAAGUAAGCACAAUUAUAAGACAUAAAAACGUUAGGUCAAGGUGUAACCUAUGGAAUGGGAAGAAAUGGGCUACAUUUUCUAUCUCAAGAA